rnacentral:rRNA from 1 species
UACGUAGGGCGCGAGCGUUGUCCGGAAUUAUUGGGCGUAAAGAGCUCGUAGGCGGCCUGUUGCGUCCGCUGUGAAAUCCCAGGGCUCAACCCUGGGCGUGCAGUGGAUACGGGCAGGCUGGAGGCAGGCAGGGGAGAACGGAAUUCCCGGUGUAGCGGUGAAAUGCGCAGAUAUCAGGAGGAACACCUGUGGUGUAGACAGCUUACUGGACCAUUUCUGACGCUGAGACACGAAAGCGUGGGUAGCAAACAGG